UGUCAAGAACUCAGGAUGUGCAGCCAAGGCUGAGACCCCUUGCAGAUGGACAUGUGUGAAGUGUCUGGAGCACAGGGCAGGAGGAUUCAUUGGCUGGGGGGUGACAGGACAUGACAGCUUUGAGCUAAGAUUUGAAGGAUGAAUAGGAGUUUCCCAGGCACACAAAUCAGUUGAUGAAUUGCUUCGCUUGAAGUGGCAGUGCCCACAUUGUGCCGGCCUCUGGGGAUGCAAAGAGGAAUAAAGCCACCCCUUGACCUUAUGGAGACACACAUGGAAACAGCCAUUUGUGAUCAAAAGUGGCAAAUGUGUAAACCCCCCAGGCAAAAGGAAGAUGUUAGCUGCUGGAUGCCCAUGAGCACAUAGCCCCAGGCCUCCUGCAGCCUAAGAA